ACUCAACGUUAAUUCUUUAAAAAGGGUGAGUUUAAGUUGUAAAAGCAUGCUGUUGUAUUGAUUUAUUUCAAUACUGAACAGACCCUUGAUCAGCUUGUUAGCCCUAAACUUGUUUUUAAGGAGUUU
rnacentral:sRNA from 1 species